AGGAUAAACGCUGGCGGCGUGCCUAACACAUGCAAGUCGAACGUCCUACGCAAGUAGGGAGUGGCGGACGGGUGAGUAACACGUGGGCAAUCUACCUUUCGGUGAGGAAUACCGGCGAGAAAUCGCCGACAAUACCGCAUACGCUUCGCAAGAAGCAAAGUCGCAAGACGCCGGAGGAGGAGCCUGCGCCCGAUUAGCUGGUUGGUGAGGUAAGAGCUCACCAAGGCGACGAUCGGUAGCUGGUCUGAGAGGAUGAUCAGCCACACUGGGAUUGAGAACGGCCCAGACUCCUACGGGGGGCAGCAGUGAGGAAUUUUCGGCAAUGGGGGCAACCCUGACCGAGCAACGCCGCGUGCAGGAGGAAGGUCUUCGGAUCGUAAACUGCUUUUCUGUGGGAAGAGAACGGACGGUACCACAGGAAGAACGCCCCGGACUAACUACGUGCCAGCAGCCGC
rnacentral:rRNA from 1 species